rnacentral:lncRNA from 1 species
AGCUGAAUUUUGACGUAAUUUCUCUUGAUGUAGCUAGCAGGUGGCAGAGGUGUAUUUGAAAGUCAGCAGCAUUCUGAUAGCGAUUAGAAUGUCCUCCGUCUGCUAGUCUUCUUGAUUCUUAAAUUCUGUGGAGCUCAAAUAGACAACAAAGCUUGUGGAACUAAUUAAGUGUUAGCAUAAAUAUCUAGCCUUCAUCAUGUUGAGCUUCCUUAAUAAAUGUUAUUUAUUUAGCAGGAUCAUACACUUAUUAUUAUUAUAUAUAUAUAUUUUUUAUAUAUAUUUUUAUUGUAAGAUGAAAACUUAUUUAUUUUAUUUUUAUGCCACCACAGUGAAUGUACUUAUGGGUUUUAUGCCAUGAGCAUACUCACAUGGGGCUUACUAUUUUUUAACAUUUUUAUUUUCUUUUCAAGAUAGCAUGAACCUGAUUAACUAAGCAAAUUAUAAUUGAAUAAUUGAAAGGAAAGGGUAACUACCAAGUUUACCUCUUGGCAAGGCGUUCAGUAUUUUUAUGUCCUCCGAACGGGACUCUCUAUUUUCUCAGUCAUCCUGGGAUUCGCUAGGUGGUGUAGUCGGUGAUUCCGGCGGCGCCUCUCUUCGUGUAUAACUAUCUUCUCCCUCCAUACCUAACUCGAUGCUACGGUCUCCUCAGGACAGUUCUGUUCAAGCUGUAUGUCUUCAGUCCUUAUCACUUCUCCUUCAUAGUCUACCCAUCCGUUCUUGAUGAUUUGCCUCCUCUGGUUGCGGUUGCGUCGUCUUCUUGUCCUGACCUACUUAGAGUCAUCAACUAUAUAGUUAUGGUCAGUAAAAUAGUUGCGUACCUUCUCAGAGGGGAAGUACAUGUGGACUUCUCCGGUUCCAAUGUAGAUGAUUGCUUUGAUAGUAUUGAGGAACGGUCUUCCAAGGAUGGUGGGUGGAUCAUAUUCGUCUUCUCCCAUGUCAAUGCCCUGAAAAUCAUCUGGAGCUGAAUAUAUUGGUUGUAGGGGCAUGGUUCCAUGCAGGAGCUGAUAAGUGACUGCGGCCAUUAUGUUGUCGUCAGAUCCGGUGUCGUAGAGUGUCUUCUGAAAAGAGUAUCCAUUGAUUGCGCAGUCGAUGCUUGGAACACCAGGGUCGUCCUUCUUGAUCAAGAAAGGUGACUUGAGUCGACGAUGUUGACCUCUUCCGACAAGGAUCCAAUGUUUUAAGUCUUUUGGACAAGACUUUCUACCAUCUUCAUCCUUUAGGUGCAUCAUUUAAUUAGGUGUGGACCUUGACGUCUGCACCUCUUGAUACGGUGUCACCCAUGUUCUUCUUUGCCCAGCAGUUCGAAGUAUGGUGUUGGCAAUAUCCUGCUAAGUGUGUUUGUGCUCAUAGAUCCAGGUCCUUCACUUGGUGGAGUCUGGAAGUUGUAAAACUCCUCCAUGUUUUGCUUGAAGUGUACCUGUUCAUAGAGACAAGGCAGAGAUCAAGUGCAUGGGCUCUGUUGGUGGAAAACACCAACAGAACCAAAAGUGUAUUUGUUCUUCCUUAAGCAUAGUGAGCAAGACAAAGUUGAUGGAUAAUAAGAUCAUGAGUGUAGUAUUUGAAACAUUUGUCAGAUCAGAUGGCUCAACCUGAAAGAUAAUCUAUCUAUAUUUAUGUUUUGUUUAUAUCUUCCAAAUAUUGAAUGUGCAACAUAUUAGCUUAUAUGUUUAGGAGCGUGGGAUCACGAAGGUAGUACUAAGAACAAAGAUUAAAGGACUAAACAUGUUGAAUUAAUUGAGUUGGUUAUUCUAGAGUUAUAAAUCAUACAUGUUUGUCUCUUUAUUUAUGUGAAUGCUAGAACCAAGGAGAAGCUUAUAAAAGCGAUAGUCAAGUACCUUAAGGUGUUGCCUUACUUGAAGAGUGACGGUACAGUAUCACCUUGUGGAAGCUUUCCUUUCUUAGCGGUUGUGCAUCGUGUUUGUGGCACCCUCCAUGAAUCAUCUCUUAUGAGCCACGUCUUUCUUGUGGAAAUUGUUAAACUUCAUGUGUCACUUUCUUCAUCUCCAAUGCGAGUUUAACUCAGGACUUCCCAGGUUGAUAUUGAAAGUUUUCCUGCAGGGGUUAGUCCAACAAAAUAUCCCAUAUCUACUAUAGCAUACUAUCGGCUUAAAAAUCAACCUAGACACCAUGUCUAAUUUGAUUUAGAAGGGCAUUUUAACCUAAGCACCAUGCUUAAUUUAAAAUCCCUUGGAAGUAAGAUCAUCAUUCCUAAACUAAGCACAAUGCUUAAUUAAGAGAUAAAUGAAACUAUUCCAAACCUAGACAUAUACUAAAGCAAAUAAAGGUAGCAUGAGAGCAUUUAUAGAGAUCUACUUAAGUGGAGAUGAAGUAGUGUAAUUAGUAUUUAACAAAUUGAGCAUGUCUCAAAGGUAAGGACAACCAACGUAGCAACAUGGCAAAAGAUGUUUUUUAUGUAAAGUACUCCCCCAAGCUUGAAUUUUACAAAAUUCAAGUUUGGAUGAAUUUAAUUCAAUGUUGUGUGAUGGUUGGUUGGACAUACCCUGUGCUUGUCAUUCAUCCGAUCUUCUUGCUCCAAUCCUAGAAAGGUUAGUGACAAGAAUACUCGAAGGAAUAUUUCUACAAUUAUCUUUAUAUGCUCAAUACACAAGGCAAUGUUGCAAAUAAUUAGAAGUUCAUGUUAUGAUCUGAUAAGUGUUUGUUUUAGGACACUAAGCUUGUCCUUGGGAAACCAUCAAGUUAUGUUGGUGAAGUGGUUUCCCCUCCAACACCUACCUAUAUCAAGAUCAACUCAACGAGAUCUGCAAUAUUUAUUAUAGACAUAUGCAUCGACAACCGCCCUUUUAAAGUUUUUAUAAAUGAAGAGGAAGAGGGGGUUGGAGAUCUCAAAUGUGGUAAGGAUGGAGAGACAAAUUGAUUGGAGAGAUGUUUUAUAUGAGCAAGGACUGGGUGUGGUAUUUAUGAAAUAACUUCCAUGCUCACAGUUGUUUCUCUCAAACUCCAAGGAUGAUUCUUCAUGAAUGCUUAAAAUUCCUCUAGGAUUGUCUCUCAAGUUUGUUUUAUCUAUCCAUUCAAUGGUGAUAGCACAUGGAUUUUUAAUGCCCUCUAGCCAUUGAUGUUGCUCUUCUCGAUCCUCCUUCUUAUGCAUGGGAUGUCUAGAGAGAUUCAUAGGAUUAUCGGGAAGAGAAAAAGCAUAGUAGAAAUUAUUAAGCUCAAGGAUGGGUUGGAUAGCCGAAUUAUGGGAUUGAAAUGUUUGGAAAUCGGCUAUUAAAACUUCCUCUCCUUGUAUGGGAGAUGAUUCCUUCUCUAUCUCUAAGAUUUUUCUAUGAAGACUAGUGCAAGAAGGAUGUCUACGAAUGAAGACAUACCUUCCUUUACUAAUAGAUAAAGAAAGAAAGACUCUACCAAAGGUUAUAUGAUUAAGACCAAUGUGAAAAUAUCUAGGAAAAACAUGGUCUUGUAGGGCUAGGUCUAAACCAGAAUUUAUAGAAAGAUUAAAAGAUUCCCUAGGUGUAGCUAAAAGUGCAUUAUCUUUUUGAUUAAAAGAUAGGACCUCAGCUAUAGAAAAGGGUUGGUUUUGACCCAUUGUAAUCAACUCCGGACACAGAUCAUAAUUAGGGGCACGACGUGUUGACUCCCAUGGUCUAUGGCUGGUCUCCGAAGGUGCAAAGAAUUUAAUAAUAGGUAUGGAAUUUGAGUUAUCCAUAAAGAUAAAAAUAAAAAGAUAAAAGAAUAAAAGUAUAAAAGUAUAAUACAAGAUAAUAGCAAGACUCAAAGUUAUCUCAGCAAACCGUCUUUCUCCCCGGCAACGGCGCUAGAAAUGCUAGUUGAUAUUUGGUAACGCAAUAAGGAAACGAUCCGCAAGCGCACGGAUAUCGGUGAGCAUUUCACCCGGGAGGUUAUCCAGAGUUAUCGUAUUUAUAUUUUUACCACUGGGAGAAAGGGUGCAUCUGACUAACCAAAUCUAUUGCUACUAUCCUUUUAGGCUACAAAGAAUGUCUCUCGAUGUGAGUGAUAAAUAGAGAAGACUGCAACCGUAGUCUCCUUCUAACCUUGGUAAGGACGAUCUACUGUUCUAAUGGGGAGGCUAACGGAAUCUAGACACCACAAAGGAUGUUCAACCCACACCUAUAAACCCUAUCCUUCCUGCUAACGAGAUGUGAUCUGCAAAGGUAACUCGGAAUUGUCACGUUCCUCACUACUACCACGGUCCAGCUAGUCAGGGAAUAUCUAUGAGUACCCCAGACUAAACACCACGUUUACGCCAGCAAUGAUUACUCUAAACUCUACGCGAAGAGAUUAAAGUAAACUCAUAAACCAUAAGAACAAUAAAACAAGAACUUACUAGAAUUUAGAAGUCGAAAUACUGAAGAAUCCUAGGAGCAAGCUUCGGGUUAGGAGAACUUGAUCCCGCAGGUACAAGCUUGGAGUAGACACCGACAGGCCGGGCUUCCUCCAAUCUACACCUCCACUCUAUCUCUCUCAAUCUAGUAGAAACUAGAAGAUCUAUUUCUACUUUACAUUGGUUGCUAAGCCUAAAAAGAAAUAUUAAUUAGAGAAGAGGUUUUCCUUCGAGGGCACCCUUCAAUCUCUAUGAUAAUUUCUUGUUCUCCUCCAGGGGCCUGGGGCCUUUCUUAUAUAGUCCUCCUCCUCUGUGCGUUUUUUGUUCAGCAGGCGAUGUGGUACUAAACUUUGCACCCUAUCUCAUUAAAAUGCACAUAGGCCUUAAUGGACCAAAAUCUGAUUUGGGCCCAAUUAAUCCUGCAGCUCUUUUAUGUGGAGUCCUUCUUUUCUUAAUAUCUCUUGAUUCCGAACUCCAAAUAUAGCAAAUAAUAUAUGCAUUUCGAUCAGCUCGACGAGAUCUUUGCAAUGGUGGACUCCAUUCUGUGAUUGGUGGAAACACCUGGGCGGGCGCCCAAGGGGGGUGGGCGGGAGCCCUGCCCCCGGGCCCGUUUGCCUUCUCGUUCGUUCGCGUGGCUUCUGGAGUCUUCUAGAUGAUAGAAAAUUGUGCGGUGCGUUGAUAUCUCUAUGUAAUCCCGACAUGUGGGCCUUUCUUUCAUAUUUCCUGAUAACCCCCUGCAGAAAUAGACAAACUCCAAAACUCGUGGAAUUCUGUCAGAUAAAACCCUAAGUAUAGAUGUUGAUUUCAUUUGGAUCCUUUUCUUUGUUUAUUUGAUAAUUAAAUUUGAUACUUAAGGACCGUCAACAGUGGUCAUAUCGGAUGGCGUGUCAUGGUUCGACCAAAGUGUCACCUUAUCAACUGGUGUAUGGACAUGAUGCAGUACUGCCUUGAGAAAUUAAAACUGGUUCUAGGUGAAUAUUUUCUCAGGAUCAGUUAACUGCUGAUGACUAUGCUACUUUGAUGAAAGAUGAGUUGGAUGAUUUAGCAGAGCAUUGGUUAAGAGCUUUAAUUAGUAUAGAGGAGAAUAAAAAGAGAGUGGCUAAAUGGUAUGAUAAAAAGGUAAAGGUCAAGGAGUUUGCCGAUGGGGAUUUGGUUUGGAAAUCAAUUCUACCGAUUGGGACUAAAAGUUCAAAAUUUAGAAAAUGGUCUCCCAAUUGGGAGGGUCCUUAUCGGAUAAGUCGAUCUGCCCCUGGCAGUGCUUAUAUUUUAGAAACUCUCGAAGGAGUUGAAUUUCCUAGAGCAUUGAAUGGAAAAAAUUUAAAGAGAUACUACCCUAGUAUCUGGAUUGAUGCAUAAAAGUUUAAUUGCCGAUAACAAUCCUAUCGACUGGGCAAAAUAUCAAGUGUAUCUGGGGCCAUGCAUAAAGAGUUUAAGUGUUGAUAACAAUCCUAUCGGCUGGACCAAAAGACUAAAGUUUUUGAGAAAGAAGUCAAACAAGCCGCCGAUGAAGAGUUUAUAGGUUCAGCAAGGUUUGGAUGGCCGAUAUUGCGCGUAGACAAAUCUGGUCGGCCUCCUCUAUCUCUCAGGUGUCUUCAUCGGCAGAGCCUUCCACUGGCUUUAGCUUUUUCUUCAUUUGCAGUGCCUUGCGAGCUUGGACAUCUCUUUCUUGCUGAAGAGUCUUGAGUGCAUCGGGCAGUUGGUUUUCUUCCUGUUGAGCUUGAGUCAGAGCUUCCUCCACUUCCUAAAGUUCAACCAGCAGGGUUUCUCUUUUUGCCAAUAGACUGGAAAUCUUCUGUUUUAGUUCAUCCCCUGAGGAUUGCAAAGUGCUGAUGCUCUUGUGUUUCUCAUCGGCAGCAUGCUUUACUUGUAGCAUCUCCUCUUUGAGUUGGGCGUAUGUGGCUCUAUCGGCAAGGCGCUGAGUAGCCUUCUAAUACUAGAGUUUGCGGCUUUCUAGGUGGGCAGCUUGAAAAAGAACCUCCUCAACAUCGGCUGGAAUCUGACCAUGGAGGGUCUUGAAUAUGGCUUUGGCUGGAUCAAAAUCAUCUACUAGUUGGGCUGUGUCUUGGUGCAAUAGAGCUAGUAAAUCUUCCAGCUUGGACUUGAUUUCAGCCGAUGUGAUUCCGAGCGCCUUUGAGGAGCUUGCCUCUUCACCUUUGUCAUUAGAGAUGUCGAUAGCAAAGGAGAACAAGCUAUCGGGAGAAUCUUGCUCCUGGAAAAAGAAGAAGAUAUGUUACCCAAAGUUAAGUAUCGACGAUGCAAAAUUUAAUAAAUCGGAUGACUUACUUAUUUCAAGGCGAUUUCUUGUCUCUGACGGGGGGAUGCAGCGUGCAUUAUAAUUUGAUCGGCGGGAGCUACCGAUGGAAUAUCUUCAACUGGAAAUUACCAAGGGUGAUGAUAGUAUUUAUGAAGAAAGUCAUGGGUAACGAUUCUAUGAUCGAUACUUUACCUUGGAGAGGAAUAGCGAUUGUCUGCUCAGGGGGCACAGCCGAUGAUGUGUCCAGAUCGAUUGGGUCAGUGAUCUCUUCACAUACAUCGGUUGGGCCUGCUUGCGUCUAGGGUACCGAUUGAGGAGGAGAAGGUACUUCUUGCGUCUAAGGCACUGGAUGAACUAGAGAAGAAGGUGUUGCUCGAAUCGGGGAUGCUGGACCAGGUGGAGAGGAUGGUGAUGUCUUCUGUCGCUUUGGUUGGGUCUUGGUACUUUUUGGACCCUUUCUCUUAGGUGGAGCCUGACUGGGCUGGGGGGCAUUGGCACCCGAUGAUCUGGUGCUUGUUGUCUUUGCCGAUGCACCAGUUUGUUGUCACAAAAAUUAAAAUUCUGCGGGUUAGAUAUAAAAGCAGGAAAAUAUUGUUGAAAUUUGAAAAGGCAGAAUGUUUAGUGCAAGACAUAGUUACCGAUGAUGUCCCAGUCGCAGCCAAUGUACCCUGAAAGGAUGAUGAACGUAUGGGAUGAAAUCAGUAUGAUGAGGAAAAUUAAGAAUUUACCUUAAAAGCUUGUGCCAGAGUAGCAGCAGCUACCGAUGGAGAAACUUUCGACCGUUUGGUGGUCGUCUUCUUGAAGCAGAUAUUCCAAUGCAUCAGGGCUGUUAAGCUUGCCGCGUUGUGGCCGAUCAGAGAGAUUGGGCCUGAUGGGAGAAGAUCAAUCGGCCUCCCACUUUUGCUUACUGUCGGCGCUGGGUCAUCAACCUGUUGAAAUGAAAAAGGGUAAGUUACCGAUAGAGUUAAAGUCAACAAAAGAAUUGAAGUAUCGGAAAGGAACUUACAACGUCAUCGGGGACUUUAUAUUCGGGGUCGAUCAUGUUGUGAUACAUGUGAGCCGAUACCUUGAACAGAUGCUCCUUCCAUUCCUCCCACCACCGUUUGUAUGACUGAGUCAUAAAGAGAGCUGGAACCCAAGCUGAUAGAUCAAUGUCUGACGUAUCGGCAUCUGGCUAUAGCUGGGCUAUUCUGAUCCACUCAAGACCGCUGGUUACUACCUCCCUCGGUUUUACCACAUCGGCAUAACAAAGCUUGAUCGGUAGCUGACCAAAAGCCAACUGACGAGCUAAUGCCGAUGGGUUGUAGAAAUCAUAGGUUGUGUUGGUGUUCUUUCCGCUGCCAAAGCUAUUUACUGGGAUUUCUCUUGGGGUGAUGAUUGCCAUCAUCAUAUCAUUAUCUUUAUUAAGUGCAUCAUCGGCGAAGUGGAAAGUGAGUGGAAAUCUAGAUUUUGGAUCUUCAUAAGGCAUCCAAGCUCGCUGAUCUUUGGAGAGGCCGUCAUACAAUAUUUGAAAAAUCGGCCGACUUGGUUCUCGUUUGUACCGGUACCAGGAAGGACUAUGACAGCUUCACUGUAAUUGAGGGGCGAGUGUGUUGCCGAUUCAUCAUCUGGCAGUUCAUGAUCCUCAGCAAUGUCUCGUGGGAACUGCUGUGCGAAGUAAUCGAACCGAAGGCAUUUGUGCGUAUGGACGUUAAGCCACAUGUUAAUAAACCACCAAGGACCUCCCAGGUUGCCGAUGGGUUCACCUAGCAGAAGUUUCUCGGCAACUUGGUGGAGGAGGUGAUAGACAGAACCCAGCAAAUAUCGGUCAAGGGGGAAUCAGUUACCAUCAGCUAGUCUUUCUGCUGCCGAUAAGUAAACAGAGGUUGUCCCUACCGAUCGGCCGUAGAAAAUGAAUAUUUCUAACCUCAUAUUCAGAAAGAUGGCAUGCUCUCUCUGACCAACCGAUCCUAUUCGCUGGUAUUUCUGGAUAUAUCCUGACCAACCGCCGAUGUUGCGGGUUUCUACAUUAUGUUUGGCUUUGUGGCCGAAUAACUGGCCAUCAUCGGCAGUUGCGAUGUCCAAACCGGUAAGCAUAACAACAUUAGCAAGUGUAGGGGAAGCUAGGCUGUGAACAAAGAUGAAGGCAUUAAAAGCAUGUGACAAAAAGUAUGAGGUAGCUAUCAACAUUGAUUCAUUUCUUUCCAUAUCGGCAAUGGAAAGUCUGAUACAUUGGUCUAUUUUACGUUCACCCUAGUAUACUUCAUUCGUUUUGCUUACUCUUAGAAACCAGUCUUUCCAUCCUUUGGUGGGGUUUGGCCAGGAUCGGAAAGUGUCCUUUCAUAGAUCUAGAGAAAAAUUCUCGGCUCUAAAAGGAAUCCUAUUGGUUUCUACAUUGAUCAGAUCGGUGGGAUCUGGAUCACCCAUAGGACCAAGACAUUUGAGGUGGGGUUGUUUAGUAGGUAUGAUGAUUUUCUUGCUCAAAUCCUAAAGUUUGAAGAUCGAAAGAAUAGAAAGAAAAGGGGGAGAAAAUGCUAAGUAAGUAAACUUGCAAAAAGGUAAAGGAUUACAAUAAAAGAAAAAGAGGAUGGGAAUGGAUUAACCCCAGGCACGGUGAAGUUGACGGCCAUUUCUUCCGGAAGAAGGAGAAAGUUAAAGACUUGAAGAUUCUAGGGGAGGUUCUUUGCUGCUAGAGCUCUCGGUUUCUUUGUCAAUGCUACCGCCAGGAGAUGAGGUUGGCAAUGGAAGAUGGCAAGGUGGAGAAAGAGUGCUGAGGAAGGGAGUAUUUAUAGGUUGAAGUGAGCAGAGGUAUUUUUGACUUAUCUCUUUGCCGUAUCCGUGAAAUUCGAGGGUGUUCGGGUAGAUAUGGUAACUGUUGGCACGAUAAUCAAGGGAUUGUACAUGUGAUUUUACAGCAAGUAAUCAUGAUUUUAGGAGAUAUCCCACUGUGCACGAUCUUUUGGUCGGCCCAUCGGCUGUCAACUCUAACAGAAUAGUUGCCGAUGAGCGUAUUCCUAUAAGAUUUGGUUGAGGUGGUUGAGAGAUUCGAGGUAUUUAAUGGAGAGCAGAAUUAAGGUUGUUUGGAUUUGGUAAUUAAUUGUUACCAGAAGGAAAUAAUUGUGAAAAGGUCAUCAUUAUCGGAGAGAAUUUUGGAGCAUUAAUGAUUUCAUAUUCCGAAAUUGGGGGGCAUGUGUUGACAUCAUUUUUGGACAAGAAUCGGGGUAAUCAGUAAGGCUUGGAUCGACAGUCAGAAAGGUGAUGUGUCUGGCCGAUAAGGAGAUUGCCGAUAGCCUAUGAUACCGAUGACAAGGCAACCGGAGGAAGAUGUGGCUAUGUCUGGUGAUGGUUGUUGAUCAGUGCCACUGUCUGAUGUUGAUGAUUGCCGAUGCCAAUGAAGGAGAAUAUGCCGAUGAUGGAGGAGGAAGACAUGGGGGUCGCUGGGAGGACAAUGGUGGUGUGCCGAUCACCCAAAAUAGAUAGGUUGCUACUUUCCAUAAUUGUUAGAGUUUAUUUUAUAUACGAGUUCUGUUUGGUUUGGAAUUCAAAUCUUAGUUGUAUACGGUUGUAACUCUUUAGGACAGAGUAUAAAUAUAGGCCUAGUGAAAGGUCAUUGUUUGGUUUUGGUAAUUGAGUGACAACUUAGGUGGACUAAUAGUGUUUAUGUGAGAUACACAGGAGAUUAGUCCACAGGUGAUGAUGUGAUGAUGGAGGAGCUCAUUGCAUAUGAGACAUGACAUGGAGUCAUGUGACCAAGGUGGAGAAGAUCAAGAUGAGGCUUGGCUCGAUGGACCGGUUGCAAGAGUGAAGGGCAAGUCGGAGGCUUUGAAGCGAGGGACCGCGUGUGACGGUGAAGCUUGAGCAAGACUUGGCGCCGAUGGACCGAGGCAACGGUGAAGAGCAAGUGAGGUAAAGAUCGAUGAACCAAUACGGUCAUGUGAUGAUAUGAAGUGGAUCAUAUCAUUUGGUGAUUGGUUGGUGCAUGUGUUGCAUCAACAUUGGAGGAGAUUGAAUGGAAUGUGCAAGGCAAAGGUAUAACCUACACUACACCACAACACCAAUACAGCAUCAGACAACUGACGGUAAAAGUGUAUAUUUACCCAUGGGAACUCUGACGGUACAAGUAUGUGACAAACCAUCUGUCGGUAACGGUAACUGAGUGGGUUUCUGUUCAUCAGUCAAAGCCAAGAGAUUUCUAUGACAUGGAUAAUUUGGAGAGUGAGCACUUAGAUAAUGGCAAUGGACUAGUUGUGCCAUUGCCUGAUCUAAAUGCCAAUGUGACUGUCGAUGUUAUUAACCGGUCUAUCCCUCUUGUUAGAACAGAAAUAGAUGGUAUAAUUGUUCCAAAAAAAUCAAUAAAAAAUUCUAAGAAGUAAGUGUCCUUUGCAUAAUUUGGUUGCUGCCGAUUUCUUGGAAGUAUUUCCCUUUUUGUAUUAUUUCUUACAAAAAACAAAGUGUGCUUACUUUUUGUACUUUUUAGGAGGAAAAAAUGCCCCUAAGAAGGAAGAAUAUGGAUGGCCUCGUUAAUGAUUAUGAGCUGCAGCAGCAAGCACAGAUUGCAAGAAACAAGAAGCACCUAGACUCUUUGAAGAUUCCUACCCUGAGCAAUGUGGUGCAGCCACCACCAGCUAAGAAAAGAAUAAAGGUCAGCCUAGUCAUCCUAAUCUCCUGCGAGCACCAUGAUUAAUCAGAAGCAUGUUUUUUUGAAACACUAAUGGCUGCUAUUGCUAUCUGUUGUAGAAAACUUAUCCUGCACCCACCGAGGAUCGUAACCUGCGACCAAGGCCACAAAAAAAUACUGUUGAUACUGUAUAUGAGCAGAUUGUUGAUGCUCCUGACUAUAUACCAACUGGAGACUUCUUAUGUGACAAUGAAGGUAAAUAUUUAGCACUGCAGUACUGCUGUUUUCCAAAAGUAAAACUUGCUACACGUGUUGUUCCAUGUGCUUGAUGCUAUAGUAAACUUAAGCUUUUUGUAGAAGCAUAAGUAUUAUAUUAGGUUAUGUUUCUCACAUUCCAAAUUAAUUUCUACAGAUUUGCUUAGUGGUACGCAAGAGAAGAGGAAUGGAAGAGGCAUCACACAGAUGAAUGACAUUUUUGCAAGGACUGCCGACAUGCCUAAAAUCAAAGUAACACUAAAUGAAUAUGGACAGCCCGUUGGAGAAACUGCUAGGAAGCUUGCUAGUGUCAUUGGGUGUCAAGUGAGAAAGAAAUUAUCAGUUGGUUGUAAGGAUUGGAGGCUUGUUGAUCCAAAAAAGAAGUUAGCAGUUUGGAAUGACAUAAAGGUAGAACUAUUGUGCCUUUCUCAACUGAGCCAAAUACAACAUGAUUUGUAUGUUUAUUUCUGUGCACAUGAACUGUUAAUUUGUAACUCAUUUUAAAUUCUUGUACUUAUGGAAAUUGCUUUGUUUAUUUCUUUCUUUGUUUUUGUGCACAUGAUCUGUACAAAAUGCAACAUUGACCCAUGUUACCCUACAAAUUAGGAAUUUGAUGACAUGGAUGAGGAUGCCAUGAAAUGGUUCAUGGAUACAGCUGCAAGAAAAUGGAAGGAUUACAAGGCAGACUUAAAACAGAAGUUUUUUGAUGAAUCAAUGACGGAUGAUGAACUCAAGGCAAGAGUUGGUAAUAGAGUAAAUGCUGCUGACUGGGAUUACCUUGCUCGGUUUUGGAGGACUCCUGAAUCUGAUGUAAGUACCAAAUUAUAUGAAUAUGUUUUUAGAAAUCUUGGGGGACUCCUGAAUCUAAAGUAAGUACCAAAUGCUUUCAAUCUUAGGCUCGUACAGCAAGAGGAAAGGCAAAUCGUGCCAAGUUGCAGCAGCUUCAUACAUCAGGCAGUGUGAGCCAUGCUUGUCGUAGGCACGAUCUGGUAGAUAAACCUAUCACUCACAUUACUAAUUCAAAAUACAUUGUUUGGAGGAAUUUUGAUUGCUUCAAAAGUUUGGAAAAAAACCUGUAGGGUCAAGAACUUGGUCGCACCCCUCGAAGAGAUGAAGUUUACAUCAAAACUCAUACAAGGAAAAAUGGAGUACCUUUAAUGCAGGCAUCGUCAACAAUUGUAAGUUUCCUCCAGAAAAGUAAUUGCAACAUUUAUAUAUAAACAUACUUAUUCCUUUUUUAUAGAAUGAACUUAAAGCAGUUGUUGAAGCUCGUCCAGAGUUGAAGGACAAAUCAAUUCAAGAAGGAGAUGUAUAUGUUGCCGUUUGUGGAGAAAAGGAACCAAAAGGUCGUGUUCGUGUCUUGGGUUUAGGACCAACACCCCAAGAGAUUCGCACCCCAGGGUUGAAGUCAUACAUGUCAACAAGGCUUCAACUAGAAGUCUUGGCUCGUAAAAACUCUGAAAGUGUACAAGCAACCUUGGAACAACGCAUUGCUGCACUGGAAGAGGAACUGGAAGAGCAAAGGAUGGCACAUAAAAGGCAAAGUGCUGAAAAUUUGUCACAAAAUGGUUCUAAUUCAAGACAUCACAUGGUAAAGUACUUUCUACAUCUUUGUGUCUUAUACAAUGUCUUAUGGCUCCAUACUCAAAAUAUAUCUUCAUACUCUUGAUAUGUAUUAUUUCAAUGCAUGAUGUAGAGCCCAAGGUGUGAAGAACAUGUUGAUGCACAUUAUGUUGCUCAGUGUGAAGAAUAUGACAAUAUUGCAAAUAAUGAGGAUUGUGACAUUGAAGGCCCACCAGUGUCUGCUGGCAUGAACGCUAUAAACACAGCAAGAAAUGAAAAUGCCUCUCGCUUUACACAUGAUGGGCUUGUAAUGUUCUCCAUCCUCUUGUUAAGUUUAUGUUUGUGAUUUAAUAUUUGUUCCUCAGAUUCGUGUAAUUCUCAUGUAUGUGUCAUCUACUUCAGGUUGGAAAGGAAGCGAUACUUUUUGCUAUGUUGAGGCCUGAUCAACCUGUAGCUAAGGGAACUGUCCUUUCUAUUAAUCCGAGGACCAUCGUAGGAGGUGAGCCUCUUGGAAAACAGUUUUGUGAAGUUACAGUGGAACAUGUGAUAAGAAGGGAUGCACUUUUGCCUAGCCCAUAUGAUCAUAUGGAGAGUAUGGCUGGGGCUUAUAUGAUGUCAAUUGCGUGGCCGUACGAGUGAGUAAGAAAUUACACCUAAUGUUAUUUCUUUUUGGCUUUUGAUGAGUGUCUAGUGUUCCUAAUUGAUUCACUCUGUAUAGCUAAAGCCUUGCAACAAUUCAUCUGGAUCUUCCAAGGUUACACCAGGCAUUUUGAGCCCCUUUCUGAUUCUUCAUUUGAGUUGUACAUAUGUCUGCUUGCUGCUGCUAUUUUAGCAGCCACAUCUCGAAUAAUAUAUAGGUAGUACAUAUAGUUGUACAUAUGUUGCUGCAACAUAUAGCUGAAUAUAUGAUGUUGUUGCUGCUAGCCACAUCUGGAAUGGUAUAUUGUGCGCUGUACAUAAGCUGAAGGUUUUCUAUAAAAUGUUAUAUGAGAUUGCAAAUAGAUGUACAUAUGCUGUUAUUUUCUAAGAUAUGUUGCUGAUGAGAGUGCAAAUAGUUGUACAUAUUUUUAGUUCAAAUUGCAAAUAGCUGUACAUAUUUUAGCAUAUGCUGCUAUUUUAUGAAAAAAAUAGCUGAGAUUGAGAUGCUAGCAAUUUUUGAAGAGCACAAGCCAGUAUUGCCAACAUGCCUAAAAGUAUUAGCAAAUUUCAUUGCAUUGCCAUCUGAGAUUGCAAAUAGCUCAGACAUAGACCUACAGUUCCUGAUUAGUGUACUACUAUACUUUCAAUCAAUUUAGGUUGGGAGAUCCCCUGCAGUUCUUCUAGUUAUUAAUGAUCAAAUUGAUGUUAAUUUAUUUUUCAGGUAGCAUUGGGCGCCACUAGCUGCUUACAAGUGAAUGGGAUGCCAAAUUUUGCGCAACUACUGCAUUUGGAUCCAAGUAUUUCUUUUGUUUUAUGAGCUUUUGGAACAACUUUACUCGUUGGGAGGUCAAGCACCUGUUGUUGGGUCCAUACAUCUCUUUUUGGUUGCUAUGUCUAUCAAAGUGAUUGUUUACUGCAAACAAUCUAGUAUAGCUCCCAUUUAUGUUCUAUGACUUGGUGUAAAUUGGAUAUGCUGCCAUGUAUGUACUUGUGCUUAAUUUAUGACUUGGUGCAAAUGUCCAAGACAACUAUAUGCAUGUCAUAUGGAGAUCCAUGUAUUUGGGGACUAAAUCUAUGGAGAUGAAGGUGAUAUGAUGGAUCUUUGAUUAGUCAAAUGCAUAUUUAGUAUGUUAUGAUUCUGCUACGCUGUAUUUUAUUUUUUUUAUUUAGUUUUAAACUUUCUGUUGGACAAUCUGUCGGUAAAUAUAUUUAUAACAUCGCACGGUGUGCCGGCAUAACUGGUAACACACUGUCUGUCGGUGAUUUUCUCUCCAUCGGACUAUCUGUCGGUGAUUUUCUCUCCGUCAGACUGUCUGUCGUUGAAAGGGUAGUCUGUCGGUAAAACUUUUUACCGACAGGGCUUAUAGCGACUAACUUGAUCUGACGGUAUAUCUCUACAUCGAUGGCCUGUCUGACGGUAAAACGUCUUAUACCGACGGACCGUCCAACGUUGUUCUGAGGUUGUGGUGUAGUGCUAGGGCAUUUUCAUUUCACCAGACAUGGUGUGUAGAGAAGUUUAUGACCGGAUUUAGGAUAGAUGGAUGUACUAUCAAGAGGGGCAAACUUGUUUGCAUAUCGGUCAUCUAAGUGCCACUUGAGCGAUCUAACUUUGUAUACGUGUUAGGAUCGAAUGGCGUGGCUAGUUGAGAGGCUAACUCCUUUGGGAAACUGUUUGUGAAAAUGCUAACACACUUGCACUUGGUGAUCUACACUUGGUGGUGUUGGCACAUUUGCAAAGGAGGUGGAGUUCCUACGGUUGAGAGGGGUGUGCAUUCAGCGCUUUUGAGAAAUUUAGGUGCAUAUUUUCUAUUGCGCCGGUGGGAAAUUUGGAGAAGUCACGGGAGUGUUUUCUCACUGAGAAACAAUCACCGGACGCUGAGUGCGGAGGCACCAGACGCUUGCCUCAAAGUCUGGUGUGCUUAACCCGGCUAGGGUUGAGCACCGGACGCGCUCUGAGAGCAUCCGGUGGUUAGCGUCCGGUGUGAGGGAGUUUUGCAACCCUCCCUGUGUUUGAGUCCGGUGAGCACCGGACGUUGAGGGUGCGUCCGGUGGCUCACGUCCGUUGACCUUGCGAGUUUGCAGAGCUCUCUGCGCACGGGUCCGGUGUGCACCGGACGCGUCCGAUGUGACACAUUAGAGCGUCCGGUAGUGCUGUGCAGGCGCACGUGUGCAGUAGCCGUUGGCAGUAACGGUCGAGUUCAAACGGCUAGUGACACGUGGCUGACGCCUGAGCACCGGACGCUAGGAGUUGAGCGUCCCGUGGCUCCCUGUAAGCGUCCGGUGCCCUCGUGUUUUGCCCAGUGAAGGGGCAACGGCCAGUUUAGCCCUUGGGGCUAUAAAUAGAAGUGGUGGCCGGCCUCGGCUGGUGCUGAGCACCCUUGGGACUUAGUGUCCAUGCUAGGGGAUUGCUAGUAAAGCCUCUAACUCACAUAUACUUGAUAGUGAUCAUCUGUUUGUGUGAGUGAGCGAUUCUAGUGCGUUGCAUUGAGAGAUUGCAUCGAGUGGCACUAGGUGUUCAUGUUGCAAGCCGGUGGUGCUUGUUACUCUUGGAGGUUGCCACCUCCUAGACGGCUUGGUGGCUUGUGACUCCGUCGAAGCAUGCAAGGAGAUUGUGUGGUGCUUCGGAGAAGAGAUUGUGAGGGGUACGGUGCUCACCCCGCGGGGAUCGUGAAGAGCAACUCUAGUUGAGCGAGACGUGAAGAGCGACAAGUGGUCCAGCCGGGUCAAGUGCUAGAUCUUGUGGUAAGCACUCCACGUAGGAGAGUGUGACUUGUGGGUCACCACUAGUAAGAGGACCGGCGGCAACCUUGGAGCUUGUCUCAACGAGGACGUAGCUUGGUGGCAACCAAGUGAACCUCGGGAGAAAAUCAGCGUGUCAACAUUGUUCUUCCCGUUGGUUUGCAAGUCCCUAACCCAAGCUUGUUCUUACAUUCUUAUACUUGUGCUUGUGUAGUUGCUCUUGUAAUUAGUUAGCUUGUGUAGCUUUCUAGUUACCUUCUUGCUUGUGUCACUAGUAGCAGUUCUCUUGCGUGACUAAUUUGGUUUGUGUAACCUUGUAGUCACAUUACUUAGUUUGUGUAGCUAAGUAAAUUGCGCUCUCUAAUUUGGCAUUAGUUGCCUUGUUAUUGAGCUUGCUAGUGAGCUUAGGCUUUGUGCGCUUUGCCUCACAAGUUUGUGUAGGAGCUCCCCCGGUUUGCAAAGUACUAGUUGUAUAGGUUUGUGUGACCUUGCUUCUAGAUUUGGUUAGGUGAGCUCUUGCUAAGGUAGCACCUUGCUUGCUUGUUUAGGAUCUUUUCAAGGUGCUAGAGAACUUAGUUAGAGGGGCGUAGUCUUGGCUAGACCAAUAGUUUUAAUUCCGCAUUUGUUUUCGGUUAGUCGGCGUAAUAAAUUUUAGAAAGGACUAUUCACCCCCCCUCUAGUCCGCCAUCUCGACCCUUCAAGUGGUAUCAAAGCGAGGUCUCUCAUUUGUGGUCUUCACCGACCCGAGAGGAUGGCGGCUUUUGGGCUAGAUGAUUGUGAGACUCACAUUUUUUAUGGUACAAACUUUGCACUUUGGAAAAAUCACAUGCUUGAUCAUUUUCGUGCAAAGGGACCUAAAUUUUGGUGGAUUGUCACUAAUGGUCUCACACAUAACUUGGACCAUAAGAAUCUCACCAAAGCUCAAAAGGUUCUCUUUGAACUUGAUUGUGAAGCUUAUUGUUAUCUAAUGAAAUCUUUGAGCUUUGAGUUGUUUGAUAGGAUAAACUCCAAAGGAACCGCAUAUGAAAUGUGGGAGUCUACCAAACACACCUUCGGAGAUUUCUCCAAAUGGGAUGAUGGCAAGUUCAAAAAGGAGGAACCAAAGGUGGACAUCCAUGAGGAUGUUGAGCAUGACCACUACAAGGUGGUUGUGGAGGAUUGCUCCACCUCAUGCUCAAGUGAAGAUGAAGAUGAUGGCUAUGAGAGUGAUGCUUCUACAAGCUCAUCCAUCUUCAUCACAUUACUCCAUGUCUCACAGUGAUGGCAAGGUAUCUAUUGGAGGUGUGCUUGUUGAUUGUGAUGAUUCAAAUUUUGAGCUUGUAUGUAGACUGACCAAAGGUUUAAGAAAUGAGAUGGCUAAAACAAGUAAAAUGAAAAAUUAAAACUCAUUUCUAAAGACCACAUGUGAACAACAAAAGCAUCUACUUUAUGUUACUACUUGUUCACAUGAGGAGCUAAAAUUGGUUCAUGAGGAACUUUGUGUUACUCAUGAUAACUUGGUAAAAGAUCAUGCUUUUCUCACUAAGAAGAUUUCAAAUGAAGAAAUUAAAACUAGUGAGAGCUCAUCACUUGGGUCAAAUGAUCAAUCACAUAUUGCUACUAACCCUUGUGAUGUAGUCAAGAAGCAUGUAUCCACCUCUCGUGAUGUUUUAUUAUCUAUGCCAUGUUCUUCACAAUUAGAUAUUUGUUCUACUUCCAUGUCUUGUGAGACUAACCUGUUGAAGGAGAACAAUGAGGUCAAAAAUGAAGUGAAGAAUUUGAGCAACAAGUUAGAGAGGUGUUACAACUCAAAAGUCACCUUUGAGCAUAUAUUGAAGACUAAAAGAGAUUAUGGUGACAAAUGUGGCCUUGGCUUCAAGAAGAAGAUGAAAAAGGGCAAAAGAAAGCAAGAGAGUGAAAAGCUCUCUCAUUUCAUGUGCUAUUGGUGCCAUGAAAUGGGUCAUCUUGCUAAUGAUUGCCCAAACAAAGAGAAGCUCAAGAAGAUAAAAGAAGAAGAGAGGCUAAAGCAUGUCAAGUGCUUCAAGUGUCGCACUUGGGGUCAUCUCACCUUAAUGUGCCCAACCAAGCAAUUGGUGAAGCAACAAGUAAAGCCUCAACCAAAGCCACAAGUUGAGCAAGAGAAGACAUCCCAAGCUCAAGUCAAGUUCAACCAUCACAGUGACUUGAUGAUGAAGAAGAAAACAAGAAGGGGUGGGAGAGCAAGGCAUCUGAUGCAAAUCCAAGAUGCCAAGAUGAUGUGCAAGAAUGUUGGACACUUUGCCUCGAAGUAUCCUACCAAGCUUGAUAAGAAGGCUCAAGCAACUUUCAAGAGGCAAGGCAAUGAGAAGGAACACAUGAGCAAGGAAGAAAAGGCUCAAUCAAAGCGAAGUUGCUACUUAUGCCGGGAAAGGAAACACAUGGCUCAUUCAUGUCCCCUAGGUAAUAAUUCUAAGCCUAUUUCAAUUGAUAACCAUAAUAUGCUUAGAAAGGAUGGUGAUGGUACCUCUAUGGUUGCUAUUGCAAAACAUCCCGCUACUCAUACUAAGGCUAUGCCUAAGUAUGUUGCUCCUAACUUGAGAGGACCCAAACUAGUUUGGGUACUAUCAAAAAGUGGAUGAUUGUUUGUAGGUACCAUCGGCAUUGGAGGCUUGAUUCAAUUAAUCUUAUAUUAUUCAUCAUAUGAUUGAGUCAAGUAUUGAAGCUUAGUGCUUAUGUUAUUCCAAUGCCAAGUCAAAUAAGUGAAGUCCAAAUGUGCUACAACAUACAAGUGUCACAUUCAAGUUGUGGUAAUUUAUUGGAUUAUUUGAUGGCUUGCAAAUACAUGAGUUGAAGCUUGCAAAUUAGAUGAUCAUGAGCUAACCAAGGUAUAUCUUUGUUGAUCACAUUCAUUUGGGUGCAUAUGAGUUGAAUGAAUUGGAUAUAUAUGCAAUGUUGCUUGCUAUAAGUUGAUUGAAUGGAUUAAAUGCUAAGUAAUCAAGUUUCGAUUGAUCUGGGUUGGAUAAGUUCAUAAGAUAACAUUUAGUAAGUGGAUUGAAUUGAUAUAUGUCUUGUGAAUGCAUUCAAUCAAGUUGAUUUCAAGUUUGAUUCAAUUUGAAGAAGUAUAGCUCAAUUGCUUGAAAUCUGUCCAAUAUUGAAAAUCUGAGCUAGCUGAGAUCAAGUCUGUGUUUCAGUGAUCAAAUCUAUUUGGAAUGGCUUGAAAUUUGGUAUGCAUGCUGUACAUUUAUCAUAGAAGAUGCUGUAAAAGUCUCAUAAAGAUUGGAUAAGGGAUACUUCGGUUUUGGAGUAGAUCUUAUCAGCUAUAGUGCAGCAGUUUUCAGCAUGUAGCAGUGGUGGAAGAAUUGAAAUCUGGUAGCAAUCUAGAAGUCACAUGAAGCUCAAAUUUUUAUAGCUGCUAGAUGACUUAGUGAAUCACAUCUCCACCAAAUUUUGUAGUUUUUGGAUAUGCACAUUGUGAGAUAUAGAUACUUCUUUAAAAGGUACAGAAUCUGCCAGACAAGUGACAAUUAUUGGAAUGAUCUAGAGUCACUUCAAUUGAAAGGUGCUCAAGUUGGAAACAUGAUCAUAAGUGUUUGAGUCACCUAAGUUCGGUUUUUGAAUUGAUCUAGAAGCAUGACAAGUAAUGAGUACAAGGUCAUUUGAUUGUGGAAUGUACUUGGUGUACACAUUUAGUACUCAAAUUGAAGGUCAAGAUCAAACUCAAGAUGAAGAUGAAGUUUAAGUUAUAGUGACUAUUGGAGAUUAUUUAGAAACAAAAAGAACUUAAACAAGUAGAAAGAAAAGGACUUAAAUAAGGGUUCACGGAUAUUCAUCAUAUUAUGUUCAUCACGUGAAUCAAUCAAUCAAAGGCAAUUCAAGUGAGUGUCAAGAAUGGUUCUUUAGAGAGAGGUCACUUCUCCCUAUGAGGGGGGCGUGCCGCCCGAGGAGUGGGUAAACCAAGUGUGGUGCUUGGAAGGCUAACAUGGAAGUGGUGAUCUAAAGGACAUUUGAGAUGCUUAGUUGAAGCAAUCAAAAGGAUUGAUCAAGAAAACAAGCAACACCUAAAGAGAGCUAGUCAUGAUGUUCAAGUGGUAUUCUUAUUAGUUCUCUCAUGCAAGCAAUGAUCAAGAAAAGAUGAAGCAAGCCAACCACAACAAGAUAGUGCACUUGAUCAUAAGUGGUUCUCCAUUCAUAUGGGUGAAGAUUUGAUCUAUCAAUUGGUAUCUAUGAUUGGUCUUCACCAAGCAUAUCAAUUGGACUUCACAUUGCUAUUGGAGAAAUGAUUUAGAAUCUAUGUGACUAUCCUCUUCUCCAACAUAGCAAAGGUAUCAUUGUACUGUGCAUGAUCAUUUCAUCCCUUACUAGUAUGCAGUUAGUGCAUAUAGUACAUGCUUAAUAGGAUCAUGCAUGACAAAUGAAAAGUUUUCAAUUCAUAACCUACCACUAUUGCUUGAAUGAUUGGUUGAUCUAGUGGUAUGUAUAUGAGUUUAUUCAUGAGCUAGUGAACCCAAGUACUUAAUCUAUUUUGGAUUGUUAACAAGUGACAAGUACAACAUUGGCAAGAUAACCCUUAAUGUAAGGUGUGAAAAAGCUUGUCAUUGGUUCAAACCGAACUUGGAUGCUUAGGCAAAUCAACAUAGUUCAAGUAAACAAUUAGAAGCUCAUGAUGAUAAGAGUACAAGAACAAGUCAACAAUGAAAUGGAUAUCUAGACUCAAAUGUUUCUUCAAGUGAUAUCCUACAAUUGGUACUCAAGAUGAUGAUAGCAAAUGUUCAAGAAAGCAAACAAGUGGCUCCAUACUACCUUCAAUUGGAAGAAGAUUUCCAUAUGGUAUCAGACAAGAUAUUUCAAAUAUCACAUUUAUACGUAUGGUAUCUAUCAUACAAGAAGGUGGUUCCAUAAGUGAUCCUCAACUUUAAGUGAUCAUCAAGCAAAGAAAAGUUCCCUCACCAACAAGAUUGACAAGUGAAUGACCCAUGCUAUGACAAAGGGGGAGUGCCCCACCAAAUGGUAUCAAGGUCAAAUAUCCUAUGAGGUAUCUCAAGAGCAAUUCAAGUAAUGUCAUUCCAACACAUAUGGUGAUGUCCAUAAAAAAUGCAAGAUUUAAGCCUCAACCAUCUAUCCCAAUGCAAUCCUUUGUCACAAUGAGAUGAACACUCUUUCAAUUGGUAUGAAGUGAUUUAAUUGGUAUCACAUACCUUUUAUGGAAAUUGAUGACAAAGGGGGAGAAGAUGGAACAUAGAUAUGAUCAUGGGAUAAGAUGGACAACAAAAGAUAUAUUUCAAGGGGGAGAGAUCAAAGAUGGACAUGGACAAGGGUGCAACAUUAAAAGAAAAGAUGAUGGAUCAAAAUUCUUGGAUACAAGUAAAGCACACAAGUAGGGGGAGCAAGCUCAUGAACAUUGAUUGUUUGCAUUUGAUUUGUGCAUAUUCAUGUGCUUGUUUGCAUUGCAUAAGUCUUUAAAUUCAAUAUGCAUGCUUGUGUGAUGUAUGCUAGUUAUAGAACUUGAUUGAUGAUAUGAUAACUAGCAUGCAUAGGUUGGUAGCUAGACUUGUGUUUUUCAAGUAAAAACUAGACCCUUGCUUAUAAUGUUGAUCUCACGGGGUUUCUAGUGUUUUUGUUGUCUAGAUACACAUGGUGCUAAGGAUGGUGUACAUUGAAUGCUUCAAAUGCUAUCGAACUUGGUAUCGAGCUACAAAGGUUUAUUCUAUACACCUUAGCACUUAGUAGGGUUUUGUGGUGCUUAUCCAAAUCUUGACAUAGAGCUUAAAUGUUGGAUAAGUAGCAUAAAAUCUGAAUCAAGUUAGCAAUUUACACUUUGUAGAGUUGUCAUCAAUUACCAAAAAGGGGGAGAUUGAAAGGUCCUUGUUUGGUUUUGGUAAUUGAGUGACAACUUAGGUGGACUAAUACUGUUUAUGUGAGAUACACAGGAGAUUAGUCCACAGGUGAUGAUGUGAUGAUGGAGGAGCUCAUUGCAUAUGAGACAUGACAUGGAGUCAUGUGACCAAGGUGGAGAAGAUCAAGAUGAGGCUUGGCUCGAUGGACCAGUUGCAAAAGUGAAGGGCAAGUCGGAGGCUUUGAAGCGAGGGACCGCGUGUGACGGUGAAGCUUGAGCAAGACUUGGCGCCGAUGGACCGAGGCAACGGUGAAGAGCAAGUGAGGUCAAGAUCGAUGAACCAAUACAGUCACGUGAUGAUAUGAAGUGGAUCAUAUCAUUUGGUGAUUGGUUGGUGCAUGUGUUGCAUCAACAUUGGAGGAGAUGGAAUGGAAUGCGCAAGGCAAAGGUAUAACCUAGGGCAUUUUCAUUUCACCGGUCAUAGGUGUGUAGAGAAGUUUAUGACCAAAUUUAGGAUAGAUGGCCGUACUAUCAAGAGGGGCAAACUCUUCUGCAUAUCGGUCAUCUAAGUGCCACUUGAGCGAUCUAACUUUGCAUACGUGUUAGGAUCGAGUGGCGUGGCAAGCUGAGAGGCUAACUCCUUUGGGAAACUGUUUGUGAAAAUGCUAACACACUUGCACUUGGUGAUGUACACUUGGUGGUGUUGGCACGUUCGCAAAGGAGGUGGAGUUCCUAGGGUUGAGAGGGGUGUGGAUUCGGCGCUUUUGAGAAAAUUAAGUGCAUAUUUUCUAUUGCGCCGGUGGGAAAUUUGGAGAAGUCGCGGGAGUGUUUUCUCACUGAAAAACACUCACCGGACGCUGAGUGCGGAGCCACCGGACGCUUGCCUUAGAGUCCGGUGUGCUUAACCCUACUAGGGUUGAGCACCGGACGCGCUCUAAGAGCGUCCGGUGGUUAGCGUCCGGUGUGAGGGCGUUUUGCAACCGUCCCUGUGUUUGAGUCUGGUGAGCACCGGACGCUGAGGGUGCGUCCAGUGCCUCACGUCUGGUGACCUUGCGAGUUUGCAGAGCUCUCUGCGCAUGGGUCCAGUGUGCACCGGACGCAUCCGGUGUGACGCAGUAGAGCGUCCGGUGGUGCUGUGCAGGCGCGCGUGCGCAGUAGCUGUUGGCAGUAAUGGUCGAGUUCAAACGGCUAGUGACACGUGGCUGACGCCUGAGCACCAGACGCUAGGAGUUGAGCGUCCGGUGGCUCCCUGUAAGCGUCUGGUGCCCACCUGUUUUGCCUAGUGAAGGGGCAACGGCUAGUUUAGCCCUUGGGCUAUAAAUAGAAGUGGUAGCCGGCCUUGGCUGGUGCUGAGCACCCUUGGGACUUAGUGUCCAUGCGUGGGGAGUGCUAGUAAAGCCUCUAACUCACAUAUACUUGAUAGUGAACAUCCGAUUGUGUGAGUGAGCGAUUCUAGUGCGUUGCAUUGUGAGAUUGCAUCGAGUGGCACUAGGUAUUCGUGUUGCAAGCCGGUGGUGCUUCUUACUCUUGCAGGUUGCCACCUCCUAUAUGGCUUGGUGGCUUGUGACUCCGUCGAAGCACGCAAGGAGAUUGUGUGGUGCUCCGGUGAAGAGAUUGUGAGGGGUACGGUGCUCACCCCGCGGGGAUCGCGAAGAGCAACUCUAGUUGAGCGAGUCAUGAAGAGCGACAAGUGGUCCGGCCGGGUCAAGUGCUAGAGCUUGUGGUAAGCACUCCACGUGGGAGAGUGUGACUUGCGGGUCACCACUAGCAAGAGGACCGGCGGCAACUGUUGGGCAUUCUUAACGUCACUACCAAAAGUAGACUUAGUUUUCUAAUUCUGAUAACGGCGCCAAAAAUGCCAAACCUAUCCCUCAUAUCACUUAAGCCAAGUUGUCAUCCCCAGCAUGACAUGAGAGACGCGGUAUUGAAAUAUGCAAUUGCUCUUCUAAAUAAAUAACAAAUGAGAUCUGCAAGCGCACAGAUUAAUACCGAUGUAGCAUUUUAACCGGGAAGUAUUCCAGGUAUCGUUAUUUAUAUUUUUACCAUUGGGAAGGGAUUAGUAAUCAUCAGUGUUGAUUAUAGAAUGGAAUAUAGAAUUGAGUAUCUAUCAUUGCAUGUAUAAUUGAGAACAUUUAUCUAUCUCCUUCAUGCAGGGAUAAGUGUCACAUAAAGGAUAUAUAUAAAGUAAUGAAUAGUGACAAAGAUAAUUAAUCUGAUCAGCAUAACUUAGCCUAUAUAAAUAUGAUAAGCACCUCAAUUAGAUAUUCUAGCAAGUCAUUAGCAUGGAACUAGGACGAACUACAAGAAUAUUUCCUAAGUUAUUCUUAACUAUAUAGUCUAGCAUAUCAUAGUUAGUGCAAUUAUACUUAGCAAUCAUUGUGAGACAAGACUACGCCCAUGCAUAGUGAUAGCUGUCACUACCACGAACUACCCCACGAUCUGGCAUAUAGGGUACAAUCGCAGAUAAAUACGGUAUAAGCACCACGCCUACACAAUAUCUAUCAUUUACCCAUGGAUCCGAUGGAUAAACGCUAUACAAUCCUAAACAUGUAUAUAAUUCCAAUCUAACUAAGCCAAGUAUAUAACUAUGAUAAACUAAGAACAAUAUAAUUGCGAAUAUAAACAAGUAGAGCAAAGUCAUAACCAAUAUAUUGAAGUAGAACAAAGUCAUAUUCAUAAUAUCGAAGAACAAAGAUGAACAAUUGAAGAACAAUAGAGAAUUACCAAGAAUCCUCUUGAGAGAUCCGGAAACCAAUCGAACAUUUACUCCUUCUAAUUCUAAUCCUAUGUAGCUAUGCUAAUCUAGAGAUCUAAUUGAUGUGGUGGCUCUAGGCUCGAUCAGAGGCUUCUUCUCCCUGAUGAAUAAUGAAUUAGGGUUGAGAGGUGCUCUCCUCCAGGGGCCAGGGGUCUGGUUUUAUAGUCCUUCCAAGUGAAUAUGGGCCGUCAGAUCAAACCAACAUUGAUUGAACGGUUAUCCUUGAUCCUUUAGGUCAGUGGAGCUUGAUCCCGAAAGAGAGUCCUGAUUGGGCACCAACAGGAGGCGGGCGCCCUGGUCCCUAGGGCGGGCGCCCUGGGCCAGGCCCCGUUCUGCCUCCGCUUCGUUCUUGUGGCUUCUAGAGUCUUCUAGAUGAUAGAAAAUUGCGCGGCACGUUAAUAUCUCUAUGUAAUCCUGACGUGUGGGCCUUUCUUCCGUAUUUCCUGAUAACCCCCUACCGAAAUAGAAAAACACCAAAACUCAUGGAAUUCUGUCAGAUAAAACCCUAAGUCUGGGUGUCGGUUGCAUUUUGAUCCUUUUGUUUAUUUAUUUGUUGAUUAUAUUUGAUACUUAAGGACCGUCAACAAACUCCCCCAAGCAUACCUCUUGCUCGUCCCUGAGCAAGGAUAAUCUCAGUGAUGGAUCACAAGCUGCUGUAAUGCCUUUAAAAGUUGACGGUACACAUGCUUUCAAAUGAGGUAUCAUCUCUGAGUUAGAGUAAACCGUAAGAUUUAAAUCUUACUCAUUUUACCUUUCACCAUGGGACUUGUAACCGUCACUUAUGUCUUGAGUAGUUAAAAGAUAGAACAGUCUAAUCAAGUGCCGUGUCUCUUAUUCUUGAUCAGCUAUAGCUCUGGAGUUUUUGCAGAUUUUCAAAUAAAACUCAAAGAUUCCUUGUAUGACUCUCUCAGAUCUCUCGUUUGUGGUAUUUCUAGAUCCUUACCAUGGCAGUGAUGGUAUAUGCCUUCUCUCAAGUAUGUAGUAUUUGUGGUAUAAGGCAUAGUGACAUUGCCUUCUCUCUCAUCCUACUCUCAUAAGGCUUUGAUAUCUGGAGCUCAUAGGUGGGAGAUAAAGUAUACAUACUUACAAGACAUUUAUUGCAUAGUCAAACCAUGGAUCUAGAAAAACAAGUCAAUAAGUCAAAUCAAGAUGUGCAUGUGUGGCGAAUGAAUGGUGUAUGGUGAUAACAAUGGUGAAAGUCUAAUUCUACUUUUGCUCUUUUGAGGGGAUACAUACCUUUCUUGCUCUUUUGAAACUUUUAAAUUUUGAGGAGAAUGAGAUGCUCUAUAUUUUCUUUUUCUUUCCUCUCAGGUGGGUAUUUUGUACCCCUAAUUCUACUGUCGAACACUUGUCCAUUUUUACCUCUCGUCUCACUUUUUUCUUUUCUUUCGAGGUUUUGGGCACUUGCCCCUUUUUAUUUCCUCGUAUCUUUCUCUCUUCUUUCUUUAGAGCACUUAUCUCAUGAAAUAAUAUAGCAAGUGGUAGUAACCAAGAUAAGUUGAGCAUUUAUUUCACAGGGGAAAACAGAAAUAUUUUUGGCUAUUCUCUCCCGGAUUAGGAGUAGAAUAUUUUUGGGUGGUUCUGGAGAUGGAAAUGAGUGGAUAUAUGUGGAUGGUACUUCCGGAGUAGAAGCAACAUGUGUGAGUGAACGUGCAAGUGAAUCUUGAUUUAACCACAUGACAAGCUCCUAAGGGUCUACACAGCUUGACCACACUCAAUGCUCAUAAGUAGUAAAGUAAAUGUGUGGCUCAAAGUCUAGCAAGCAUGUAUAUAUGGCUGUGGUAGGAAUUUAAACUCUCAUCAUACAGAAACUCAUCAUACAAUAUUUUAAAGAUUUUAAAAGAUAAAAUUCUCCAGAUUUCUAGCAUCUCUAGGAACAGAUAAACAGCAGCUCAACCUUCCCAUAUCAUAUCCGUUAACAACUUAGACUUUAGGUCAAGUUCUCUUCUCACAAGUUUAGGUUUAGAGCAAGCUUUAAAUUAUAUCAGUUAUGUCUAAACUAGAGAGAAAACUUAAAUUUGAAAAUUAGGCAAAGCAACUAUUCAUCACAUCCAUGCUAGAGUUUUAUUAUUAGGGUUCAGUUUAGCAUAGCCACUUUAUUUAUUUAUUAAACACACUAAGCAAAAGAUAUAUAUAUAUAAGCAUAAAAUCUUUAUUUGGUUUUUCAUAGUUAUGUAUAUUUAUAUUUUAAUAUAGUAUAAGUAUAAAGAUAGAUAGAAAUACUUAGCGAGAUAAAUGGGGGUGCUCUCCCCCAAGCUGAAUUUUGACGUAAUUUCUUCUGAUGUAGCUAGCUAGCAGGUGACAGAGGUGUAUUUGAAAGUCGGCAGUACCCUGACAGCGAUUAGAAUGUCCUCCGUCUGCUAGUCUUCUUGAUUCUUAAAUUCUGUGGAGCUCAAAUAGACAACAAAGCUUUGUGAAACCCAUUAAGUGUUAGUAUAAAUAUCUAGCCUUUAUCAUGUUGAGCCUCCCCAAUAAAUAUUACUCUCUAUUUUUAUUUUUUCAUUUUAUAGAGCAGAAUAAAUAUUUAUUUUAUUUUUAUGCCACCACAGUGAAUGUACUUAUGGAGUUUAUGCCACUCGUAUACUCACAUGGGGCUUACUGUUUUUUUAACAUUUUUAUUUUCUUUUUAGGAUAGUAUGAACAUAAUUAACUAAGUAAACUACUUUAGAUAUUUAAAAGGGAAAGGAUAACUACCAAGUUUACCUCUUGGUAUGGCGUUCGGUGUUUUUAAGUCCUCCGAACGGGACUCUCCAUUUUCUCAGUUGUCCUAGGGUUCGUUGGGUGGCGCAGUCGGUGCUUCCAGCGGUGCCUCCUCUUCGUGUAUAGUUAUCUUCUCUUUCCACACCUGACUCGGUGCUACGGUCACCUCAGGAUAGUCUUGUUCAAGCUAUAUGUCUUCAGACCUUACUACUUCUCCUUCAUAGUCAACCCAUCCAUCCUUGAUGAUUUGCCUCUUCUAGUUGCGGUUGCGUCGUCUUCUUCUAACCUGCUUAGAGUCUUCAACGAUAUAGUUAGGGUCAGUAAAAUAGCGGCGUACCUUCUCUGAGGGGAAGUGCAAAUGGACUUCUCCAUUUCCAAUGUAGAUGAUUGCUUUAACAGUGCUGAGGAACGGUCUGUUGACACUAGCUAACUCCACUUAGAUACUAGGUUGUCAUCCCUAGCAUGGCGCCAGAGUGUACAAAGGUAUUUAUAAAUGUAAAGGCUCUCUAGAAAAUAAUCUAUUCAAUCCGCAAGUGCACAGAUAAAACACCUCAUUGUAGCAUUUCACCAGGAUAAGUAUUCCAGGUAUCGUUAUUUAUAAUUCUGCUUAACAGAACAAAAGGGAUGAAAUUAAAUUAAGGACAAAAUCUAUCAAGGCAUAGACUAGAGAUAAACUUGCAAGAACAUGAUUACUAAUGAGAAACUCGUCACACAGUCACUUACUUUGGCAGGGGGUAAACCAUAAAGAUAAUGAUAAUGAAUUAUAAGUUCAAGGGAUAAAGAACAUAGCGAUUAGAAAAUAGACUACUCCUCAUAUAUGUAGGUGAUGUCGGAUUAGCUAUAGAAUGGAUUCUAAGUUAUCUACUAACUAUUAAGUCAUAAUCUACUCUAGUUAUCUACAAGAUCAUAUAUAGCAUAAAAGACUCUUCAUUCAUGUAUAAGGAACAUUGAUAAAGUAAAUCAGAGCAUCGCACGACUUACUCCACAAUACCGGUUCUGCCUGUCCUAUCAACGGAGGGUGGGCUAUAUAAGAAUCAAUGAAGCUGUCACUAUCGCGAACUACCACACGACCCGGCCAAUAGGAUACAUUUGCCGAUAAAUAACAUCUAAGCACCACGCUCACAUGUGAUCUAUCACCUAACUCCCUCGCGUCAAGAGCUAAGCGCUUUGCAAACUUAUACAUAAACUCAUUAUCAAUCAUAACUAUAUCAAAUAUAGAACUAGAGCAAACUAAGAACAUAAUA